CUCGUCCUCAUCACCGCCUACAUCACUUUGUAAAGGGUUAUAAUGCGUUCCCUUAAAAUAACUAUGAUGCUUCGUCUGCGGCAGUAAGUUUACUCCUAAAAUAUCCAUCCCAUUAUCAAAGUAUACGAGAAAGUCGAGGGGAGACCACUCCUGAUUUUUUCAGUUUAUGAUUCAACAUUAUGCUUUCUACUGUAUUGCAUUUACAAGGCCUGGAAGCAGUCAGCCCGCAGAGGCACUGUACUUGCUGGAACUACGGAUUCCAAUUUCAC